rnacentral:rRNA from 1 species
GAUGAACGCUGGCGGCGUGCCUAAUACAUGCAAGUCGAGCGAACGGACGAGAAGCUUGCUUCUCUGAUGUUAGCGGCGGACGGGUGAGUAACACGUGGAUAACCUACCUAUAAGACUGGGAUAACUUCGGGAAACCGUAGCUAAUACCGGAUAAUAUUUUGAACCGCAUGGUUCAAAAGUGAAAGACGGUCUUGCUGUCACUUAUAGAUGGAUCCGCGCUGCAUUAGCUAGUUGGUAAGGGAACGGCUUACCAAGGCAACGAUGCAUAGCCGACCUGAGAGGGUGAUCGGCCACACUGGAACUGAGACACGGUCCAGACUCCUACGGGAGGCAGCAGUAGGGAAUCUUCCGCAAUGGGCGAGAGCCUGACGGAGCAACGCCGCGUGAGUGAUGAAGGUCUUCGGAUCGUAAAACUCUGUUAUUAGGGAAGAACAUAUGUGUAAGUAACUGUGCACAUCUUGACGGUACCUAAUCAGAAAGCCACGGCUAACUACGUG